GACGAACGCUGGCGGCGUGCUUAACACAUGCAAGUCGAACGGUGAAGCGCCUUUCUUGUUGGUGGGUGUGGAUGAGUGGCGAACGGGUGCGUAACACGUGAGUAACCUGCCCCCUUCUUCUGGAUAACCGCAUGAAAGUGUGGCUAAUACGGGAUAUUCUGGGUCUGUGGGAUGAUGGGACUGGGAAAGAUUUUGUUUCGGUGGGGGAUGGGUUCGCGGCCUAUCAGCUUGUUGGUGGGGUGAUGGCCUACCAAGGCGGUGGCGGGUAGCCGGCCUGAGAGGGUGGCCGGCCGCACUGGGGCUGGGGCACGGCCGGGACUCCUACGGGACGCAGCAGUGGGGGGUAGUGCACAAUGGGCACAAGCCUGAAGCGGCGGCGCCGCGUGGGGGAUGGAGCCCUUCGGGUUGUGAACCUCUUUCGCCAGUGAAGCAGGCCUGCCUCGUUUGUGGGUGGGUUGACGGUAGCUGGUUAAGAAGCACCGGCUAACUACGUG
rnacentral:rRNA from 1 species